rnacentral:tRNA from 1 species
UGCGGACAUGGUGGAAUUGGUAGACACACUAGAUUUAGGUUCUAAUGAGAAUUUCUCGUGAGAGUUCAAGUCUCUCUGUCCGUAU